CCUCUUUCAAGGUACUUUUGGCUUCAGUAGAGCCAGAUUAAAGCAGAUCUGAAAAUUCUGUUGCCUAAAUGUGCCUGUGCCACCUGGCCAGUGCUGUACUCCUGGACAUCUCACCUCUCUGCAGGUUGGCCAGAAGAUGAAGAGCUUUGCACCUGAUUUCAAAGGGAACGCUCAAAUGACAAUUUUUACUUACUAUAUUUCUAUUAUUCCUAGUAGUCUUAUUUGCUAUUAUUAUAUUGUAAUUAUUUUUUUGCCCCCCUUUUAGUUGGAGGCCAACUACAGAUUUUUAUCAUUCUGGCCAGUCAGUGUUUGCCAGUGUUGCCAGCCAAGCCCGUCUUCUUGACAUCAUCCCCAUGAGCAGCAGGUGGGAGCAUCACCAGCCCCAGCUUAAGGCUCCGUAACAAGCCUUCCAAGGUGACCUUGCACUAGUCCCUCCCAUAAAGGUGCUGACCAUGAAAAACUGCUCCAAAACCUCAAACAUCAUCACUUAAGAGAGUUCAAGACUGCUGCUGAGCCAACUGACAGGUGAGAAUAACCAUCUGCCUCUUCAUAACACCACAAACACAUGAAAAAAAAAAGAAAGCCAAGAUCUGACCUACAGAGCACAAACACCACCACAUGAGCCCUGUACAAGGCUGUGCUUGUAAUGAAGGAGGAAAUGAUACAAAAGACAAGAUGCUGAAUGCUCCUCAGCUCGGCACACUUUUCCAGCCCUUCUUUCAAAAUCCCUAAGGGACUGCUCCAAUUGUUGGGAUUUUUAAAUUUCACUUGAAUGGGAAGAAGUCCAUGUCUGGUUUUAUGUUUUUUAAAUGUAUUUUAUUUUUAUUUUGAUGGGCAGAAUUGCAUGUUUGUCUCCUGAAAUGACUAUUCACGUCUGCUUAGCUCUGCUUUGGGUUGGUUUGGUUGGGUUUUUUCCCUUUAGCCUGUAGCCUGCCCUCUCAUUUCAUGCUCAGAUCCCUAAUGCUGAGUACAAAUUGCAAUGUACAGGGUACCACUGCCAAUUUGCCAAAUGUCUUUCAUCAAACACUGUGAAAAAAAAAAAAAUAAAUCUCAGAGGGAAGUCAAGAUACAUUUACUUGUCAGGCAACAAAUGUGAAAGCAUUGCGAGGCAGUAGGGGCUGCAAGCUCUGGGGUUUGAUUCAUAAUCACUCAGCUGCUAAAACAUUCUCCACAGAUGCAAGUGGACAGCACAUUUGUCAAUAUGAAGGAUUCUGACACAUACUGAUCACGGGUGUGAGAUAUGUAAUGAUGAUGCUGCUGGGAGAGGAGGAUUUUGCAGAGGACAAACUGAGACCAACUCUUCUGUACUGUGUAGCAAGGCAGAUCAGUGCUACCUCCUGGGCUUCCAGGAUGACAUCAGCCCCAAAAUAGGUAUGAAAUCAGCAGCUAAUCUUAAAUCCCUCAUUCAGAGGAAACACAAGCACUUCCAAUUAUUUUAAAGUAUUACUUGCUUUCCAAAAAUAUGUUUCUCACCAUAGGAAUUACUAUUGUGCUUGGGGUUUGUUUUUGGGGGGGGCUUGUUUUUGUGUUUUGUUUGUUGGUUUUUUUUUAAGACUGAUCUGUGCAGUUACCUGGUAUGAUUUAUAUUUUCAAGAAAUGCACCAGCAACAACGGGAAGUGCCUGGCCCCAAGCCUUUGCUGAUACGAGGCAGUGUCAUUCCACUGCUGUCAGGAUAAUUAUAGCUGUUACCUUCAGCUGGAGAUAGGGCUCACAAGAAGUAAAACUGGGGCGUUUGCUUGGAAGUCCUGGAGCAUUCUGGUGCUCAGGGCCUUCAGGAUGCGAUUCCCUAUCGUGAGAUGGGCUUGUUACAGCCCAUAAAACCCUGCCAGCCCAGCCCCACACCAAGUUCUCAAACAGUUUAUAUGCAGGUAGGCAGCCCCUGCUCAUCAGUCUACUUGAAAAAUAUUAACAGAGAAAUAAGACAUUUCAGGCACCAAAACCAAGUAGGAAUGAUAAACCUGCAACAUGUACUUUCCAGAAGCUGGUACCCUGGCUCGGAACAGCGGCCCCAGGGGAUGUGCUGGAGGGUGGGCAAGGGACAGACCUUUUUCCCAGUGUCUUCUGUCACACACCAGCAC